rnacentral:rRNA from 1 species
UACGAAGGGGGCUAGCGUUGUUCGGAUUUACUGGGCGUAAAGCGCACGUAGGCGGCUUUUUAAGUCAGGGGUGAAAUCCUGGAGCUCAACUCCAGAACUGCCUUUGAUACUGAGAAGCUUGAGUCCGGGAGAGGUGAGUGGAACUGCGAGUGUAGAGGUGAAAUUCGUAGAUAUUCGCAAGAACACCAGUGGCGAAGGCGGCUCACUGGCCCGGUACUGACGCUGAGGCGCGAAAGCGUGGGGAGCAAACAGG